rnacentral:rRNA from 1 species
AGAUUGAACGCUGGCGGCGUGCCUAACACAUGCAAGUCGAACGGUAACAGGCCCUUCGGGUGCUGACGAGUGGCGGACGGGUGAGUAAUGCGUAGGAAUCUACCCACGAGUGGGGGAGUAGCCCGGAGAAAUCCGGAUUAAUACCGCAUAUGCCCUACCGGGUAAAGGACGGGGAGUCGUAAGACCUCGCGCUGGUGGAUGAGCCUACGUCCGAUUAGUUAGUUGGUGGGUAAAGGCCUACCAAGGCUACGAUCGGUAGGCUGGUCUGAGAGGACGACCAGCCACCACUGGGACGUGAGACACGGCCCACGAACUCCUACGGGCGGGCAGC